rnacentral:rRNA from 1 species
GAUGAACGCUGGCGGCGUGCUUAACACAUGCAAGUCGAACGGGAAAUAUUUCAUUGAGACUUCGGUGGAUUUGAUCUAUUUCUAGUGGCGGACGGGUGAGUAACGCGUGGGUAACCUGCCUUAUACAGGGGGAUAACAGUCAGAAAUGGCUGCUAAUACCGCAUAAGCGCACAGAGCUGCAUGGCUCAGUGUGAAAAACUCCGGUGGUAUAAGAUGGACCCGCGUUGGAUUAGCUGGUUGGUGAGGUAACGGCCCACCAAGGCGACGAUCCAUAGCCGGCCUGAGAGGGUGAACGGCCACAUUGGGACUGAGACACGGCCCAGACUCCUACGGGAGGCAGCAGUGGGGAAUAUUGCACAAUGGGGGAAACCCUGAUGCAGCGACGCCGCGUGAAGGAAGAAGUAUCUCGGUAUGUAAACUUCUAUCAGCAGGGAAGAUAGUGACGGUAC